rnacentral:rRNA from 1 species
CAGUAGCCGCGGUAAUACAGAGGGUGCAAGCGUUAAUCGGAAUUACUGGGCGUAAAGCGCGCGUAGGUGGUUUGUUAAGUUGGAUGUGAAAUCCCCAAGCUCAACCUGGGAACUGCAUCCAAAACUGGCAAGCUAGAGUAUGGUAGAGGGUGGUGGAAUUUCCUGUGUAGCGGUGAAAUGCGUAGAUAUAGGAAGGAACACCAGUGGCGAAGGCGACCACCUGGACUGAUACUGACACUGAGGUGCGAAAGCGUGGGGAGCAAACAGGAUUAGAUACCCCUGUAGUCCCUGUCUCUUAUAC